UACGUAGGGUGCAAGCGUUGUCCGGAAUUAUUGGGCGUAAAGGGCGCGUAGGCGGGAUGGCAAGUCAGUCGUGAAAUCUCUCGGCUCAACCGAGAAACGUCGGCUGAUACUGCCGUUCUUGAGGGAUGCAGAGGAGACUGGAAUUCCCGGUGUAGCGGUGAAAUGUGUAGAGAUCGGGAGGAACACCGGUGGCGAAGGCAGGUCUCUGGGCAUUAACUGACGCUGAGGAGCGAAAGCAUGGGGAGCGAACAGG
rnacentral:rRNA from 1 species